GAGCCCUGAAGCUGGUUUUCUGAUAGCUGGAAAGACUGACAGAUUUCAUUACAUUUGUCACAGGAUCUAAAAAGUCCACGUGGGAGAAAAUAAUCCCACUUAGUAAAAACAUCUCACUGUGCCUUUGAGUGGGGAUGGAGCAGCAGAAAGAGUAUUGUUCCUGCGAAAACUGCAAGGCGUGUGGCAUAUGUGCUGAAGUGCGAUGACUAUUCACCAGUCUCCGGUUUAGGUGGCUGAGAAAGCCCCCACGAUACUGCAUGGGGGCUGGGAUUUAUAUACAUCUGUGAAAUGGCAUAAGAAUCAAAGGGGAAAUGAAUUUCCUGCGGUGCAGAUGAGCUUCGUAAAAUCACUCCCAUCUGAGUACACCUCCUUCUCCUCCAGCACGUUGAAAACCAUUUGAAUAAUGCCCGUUAUUCAGUUGCAUUGUGUGCUCUGAAAGCCAUUUAAUGAAGGUAGACAGGCUUCCAAGAAGGUGCAUUCUUUGACUAAUGUAGAUACUCCUGGAAAAAUCUUUCCCCAACACGGAAGGCAAGAUUUACUGAGUGAGUGGAAGAAGGAGUGCUAUUAGAACGUCUUGUUUCACUCAAUCAAAUCGAAUGCGAGUGACCUUGGGUUCAACUUGAUCUAUUCUGGGUGAACCUUACUCUAUGCAAUCUGAGAUUGAUACUAUGUCAGAAGCUGAAUAUAUGGAUGUCUUUGUGACUCUCAGAUGUCAGAUGACAAAGUGCCACACGAGCUUUGAUUUUCAUACCAACCCAGGGAGUCCCAGCUUCGGCCAGGGUCCCUCCUCUCCCCCUUGGUAACACGGUGACAUUCAAGUGCAUUAAGCAAUUGUUUGAGGACUGAAAUAUUAUUUGGAGAAAAGUCUCAAGAAAAUGCAACUGUGUUUGUCG
rnacentral:lncRNA from 1 species